AAAAAUGGCCCUCCUUUCUCGUGACCGCACCAAGCGAUUGUCAGACUUUAUGAGAUGGAAGAAGACUCCCCCUGCUGUGCGUCGUCUGCUGCCAUCCUGAACGUGAUAGUUACAUCACUUUCCAUCAUAUUUAAUAGACAAACAAGUCUGUCACUGUUCAUAUAAGCAUCGCUUUUCAGAUGAUAAAAGAUGAGCAAAGUGCUUCAAAAUUGUGCAACUUUCUUUCUCUUAGUCCAUAUUUAUAACAGAAAUAACAACAGAAAAAGAAAAACUCUAGCAACCUUGUGCAAUAGAUCAGUGAAGUAAGAGCCCAUGCAGACGAGUGGCUGACAAGUAAUGAUUUACUCACCAGCGUAAGAAGACCCCCAGCAGAUUCAAUGUCUUCAGUCAUGCUCAGCAACUGCUGAGCUUUGGUCUCUCCCAGGAUGCGGACAACGCGCUCUGCAUGCACAACAAGGACAACAAGGACAAUUCAAUCUCUGUGUGGACCUAUCAGUAUUUUAGUGUUAAUAAUACAGUGACAUCAAAAUGACAUCAUUCCUCCGCAAAUCAAGUACUUCAUCAUGGGCUGCUGACUCGCUGUAAAUGGAUGAUAAGCAGAAGAUAGAACUUGGAAUUCGGUUCUCUUGGUCUAAUCAUCAAAGGGGAAAGAGUGCAUGGAUAAAGUUAGCUGCAGGUGAAGCCCAAUUUGUACAAGGAUUAGACUAUGGGGCUUCAUACAUAGAGGCCAGUGUUUUAGGGACAAAUCCUGUCAAAAACACACAUUCACUUUCAUCACUGUCACCAAGGGCACAACCUAAAAGGUAACUUGCAGGACCACAAAUUCAGCUCCUCAAACUCUGGGAGACAUGAUGAGUUUUGACUGCACGUUUUCAGAUGAGCACUGACCAAAAAUUACGGACUAAAAAAAAGCCAAGGUUUUAUGUUUUUCGAAUAUCAGGGGGGUAAAAAUUCAAAAGCCUAAAUAAAAAAAAGAGCACCCAACAUGUGCAUGAGCAUCUUACAUGUUUAACAUUCAAUGAUACAGAUGGAGUGGCAGAAUCACCUCUGUUUGCCUUCAAAUACAGCAAUAUGUAAACAGAAACUUAAACAGUAAUAAAACUUUGUACAAGAAGUGA